rnacentral:rRNA from 1 species
UGCCUAAAACAUAGUGUUAAUGCACCGAAUCCCAUUAGGACUCUGCAUUUAAGGGUGCUCGGGCUAGAGUAGUAUUGGGAUGGGUGACCACCCGGGAUGUCCUAGUAUUUUACAUGC